AGCCUUCUGAGUCUGUGCCGAGAUUUCAUCAGCCACUAGAGCGUCAGUACUGUGAGACUCCUAAGAUAAGUGAAGCG
rfam:Schistosoma mattheei strain Denwood, Zambia genome assembly, scaffold: SMTD_scaffold0004280